CAGGGAGACAACACAAUGAUUUUGAUGCCUGAGUGCUUUUAUUCUUAGGCCGAAAUCCUGUCACCUUAGGUCGAUCGGUACCUCAGCUUUAAAGUUAAGGAUCAGCAACAAUGUUGAUUGCUUGAUGGAGAUUUUCAGUUCCUAAACUUUGUCUAGGUCACACCCCAAAAGGGAUGAGACUCCUGGGCCAUUAGCUCAGGUGGUUAGAGCGCACCCCUGAUAAGGGUGAGGUCCCUGGUUCAAGUCCAGGAUGGCCCAUUCGGUGUUGGGGGUUUAGCUCAGUUGGUAGAGCGCCUGCUUUGCAAGCAGGAUGUCAGGAGUUCGAGUCUCCUAACCUCCACUGACCGAACUUGAUUCCCAUCUCCAAUUUUUUUGGAGUUGAGCUCAAUUGGAGUGUGAUUUAGAUGUGUCCGCUGGAUGACCCCAGCUUCCUGUCAUUCCAAGUUUUAGGUUGAUGCCUUGAAUUUGGUUGAUAAGAU
rnacentral:tRNA from 1 species